rnacentral:misc_RNA from 1 species
UUUUUUGCCCUUCAAGCCUCAAACUAUUCAAAGAAUUCGCCAAAUAAAUGGGCAAUUCCGCUGUAACCUCUCGGAUUAAUUUCAUACACCCAUCGAAAUCUGUAUCUAUGCUCAAUACAAAAGCUCCAUUUGCAAUUGGCUGAACCAAUUGCGCAAUUGAGAUCUUGUUUGCGGGCAAGAAGACAAUGGAUGGAAUUCCGGCCGACGCGCAAUAGGCCGAAAGAGCCGCUGAGGUGUCUCCGGUGGAAGCGCAGCCAACUCCAACGACGGGCCGUUUCAUUUUUCGCAAACGGUUCACUUGGCUGACCAAAACAGUCAUUCCCAGAUCCUUAAAACUGCCGGUGUGGCUAAUGCCGCAGUGCUUAACCCACAGAUCGUUCAUGCCCAGAAACUGCUUGCCAAAACGCUCAGCCCAAAACAGAUUCGAGUUUCCUUCAAAAGCAGAGACUAUAUCGUCAGGAUCAAUCUCCGGUAACACCCAUUCCUUCUUAGACCACACUCCCGACCCGUAAGGCCAAGUGGUCUUGCCCACGCGCGAGUCGAACAGGUCGCGCCAGUACACACCGUCAAAUUUCUUCAGCGCUUCCAUGUCGUGCUGGACAUCGAGGAGACCACCGGACCGACUCCUGUACACGAUCUCGUCAAGGGAGUACCACUCGCGUGAGUCCGGCCCGGCGUUAAACGGGACGUACUUAGCUGAAAAAGUAUUCGCAGCCAAGCCGGAGCGUUGGCGCCGAGCCUCAUCGCGGAUGUUCUCGUCAGCAGGACGGCGGUGCUUGGUUACCGCGGGGGUGUUGUUGGACGAAGAGGAAGGAUCAAGCGUGGAAGAGGUGCAAGAAAUUAUUGUUGGCGAACGACGAAAGGUGGCUAGUUUCGGGUUUUGAUGGAAUCGUUUCCGUUUGUAGCUUAGAGAAGAAGCAAAAGAGGAGUGGAGGAGUGAGAAAGAAGCAGCCAUGUCU